GAUGAACGCUAGCGGCAGGCCUAACACAUGCAAGUCGAGGGAGGAGCUUUCGGGCUUCGACCGGCGUACGGGUGCGUAACGCGUAUACAAUCUGCCUUUCACAUAGCGAUAGCCCGAAGAAAUUUUUAUUAAUACCUAAUGGUAUAUAGAGGUGGCAUCACCUUUAUAUUAAAGCUGAGGCGGUGAAAGAUGAGUAUGCGUUCUAUUAGCUAGUUGGAGAGGUAACGGCUCCCCAAGGCGACGAUAGAUAGGGGUUCUGAGAGGGAUAUCCCCCACACUGGUACUGAGAUACGGACCAGACUCCUACGGGAGGCAGCAGUGAGGAAUAUUGGACGAUGGUCGGAAGACUGAUCCAGCCAUGCCGCGUGCAGGAAGACGGCCUUAUGGGUUGUAAACUGCUUUUGCAGGGGAAGAAUAAGGACUACGCGUAGUUUGAUGACGGUACUCUGCGAAUAAGCAUCGGCUAACUCCGUG
rnacentral:rRNA from 1 species